rnacentral:piRNA from 1 species
UAGAAUCCCAUGAUCAAAAGAUUUCUGC